AUUGAACGCUGGCGGAAUGCUUUACACAUGCAAGUCGAACGGCAGCACGGACUUCGGUCUGGUGGCGAGUGGCGAACGGGUGAGUAAUGUAUCGGAACGUGCCCAGUCGUGGGGGAUAACGUAGUGAAAAUUACGCUAAUACCGCAUACGAUCUAUGGAUGAAAGCGGGGGAUCGCAAGACCUCGCGCGAUUGGAGCGGCCGAUAUCAGAUUAGGUAGUUGGUGGGGUAAAGGCCCACCAAGCCAACGAUCUGUAGCUGGUCUGAGAGGACGACCAGCCCCACUGGACCGGAGACACGGUCCAGACUCCUACGGGAGGCAGCAGUGGGGAAUUUUGGACAAUGGGCGAAGGCCUGAUCCAGCCAUUCCGCGUGCAGGAUGAAGGCCCUCGGGUUGUAAACUGCUUUUGUACAGAACGAAAAGGUUUCUACUAAUACUAGGAGCUCAUGACGGUACUGUAAGAAUAAGCACCGGCUAACUACGUGCCAGCAGCCGCCGUAA
rnacentral:rRNA from 1 species